GGACCCGCACAAGUAGUGGAGCAUGUGGUUUAAUUCGAAGAUACGCGCAGAACCUUACCAACACUUGACAUGUUCGUCGCGACUUUAAGAGAUUAAAGUUUUCGGUUCGGCCGGACGAAACACAGGUGCUGCAUGGCUGUCGUCAGCUCGUGUCGUGAGAUGUUGGUUAAGUCCCGCAACGAGCGCAACCCUCACUUUUAGUUGCCAUCAUUUAGUUGGGCACUCUGAAAGAACUGCCAGUGAUAAGCUGGAGGAAGGUGGGGAUGACGUCAAGUCCUCAUGGCCCUUACGUGUUGGGCUACACACGUGCUACAAUGGUAUCUACAACAGGAAGCAAUAGGGCAACCUAAAGCUAA
rnacentral:rRNA from 1 species